AUCCGGAACUGUCAGGCUAGAGUGCAGGAGAGGAAGGUAGAAUUCCCGGUGUAGCGGUGAAAUGCGUAGAGAUCGGGAGGAAUACCAGUGGCGAAGGCGGCCUUCUGGACUGACACUGACACUGAGGUGCGAAAGCGUGGGUAGCAAACAGGAUUAGAUACCCUGGUAGUCCACGCCGUAAACGAUGUCGACCAGCCGUUGGGUGCCUAGAGCACUUUGUGGCGAAGUUAACGCGAUAAGUCGACCGCCUGGGGAGUACGGCCGCAAGGUUAAAACUCAAAUGAAUUGACGGGGGCCCGCACAAGCGGUGGAGCAUGUGGUUUAAUUCGAUGCAACGCGAAGAACCUUACCUACCCUUGACAUCUACAGAAGCCGGAAGAGAUUCUGGUGUGCCUUCGGGAACUGUAAGACAGGUGCUGCAUGGCUGUCGUCAGCUCGUGUUGUGAAAUGUUGGGUUAAGUCCCGUAACGAGCGCAACCCUUGUCCUUAUUUGCCAGCGAGUAAUGUCGGGAACUCUAAGGAGACUGCCGGUGACAAACCGGAGGAAGGUGGGGACGACGUCAAGUCAUCAUGGCCCUUACGGGUAGGGCUACACACGUGCUACAAUGGCCGGUACAAAGGGCUGCGAGCUCGCGAGAGUCAGCGAAUCCCUUAAAGCCGGUCUCAGUCCGGAUCGGAGUCUGCAACUCGACUCCGUGAAGUCGGAAUCGCUAGUAAUCGUGAAUCAGAAUGUCACGGUGAAUACGUUCCCGGGCCUUGUACACACCGCCCGUCACACCAUGGGAGUGGACUGCACCAGAAGUGGUUAGCCUAUACGCAA
rnacentral:rRNA from 1 species